rnacentral:misc_RNA from 1 species
GCAAGGAUGGUUUAAAGCACAGGAAAACUAAGAAUCAGAUGAGACAUGAAUAUUUACAAAUAUAGAGACAAAUGCAGUUAAUCAUAUCAAGUUGCUUCUUGUAAAGAGUCAAAACAAGCUACAUACCCUAGAAUUCACUUGAAGCACCAUCCGUACAAAAGAGUGAACUCGAUAUUCAAAGCUCUCUUGAUUUUACAUAGAAUCCCUUGCUCAUUGAGACCCCAGAGGAUCAUCCACACUUGAUGCUUCAA